rnacentral:lncRNA from 1 species
UAUAGCUGCAGCGAUGGCUUGCGCAACGGCCGGUUCCUCUUGGCAGAGCUGGUGAAUAAUGUCGCGAAACUGUUCUAUUAGCCAGCUUCCGCUGUGAUGGUAGUUCAAUUCAUACCUCGGUCACGCUCUCGACGUCCUCCUUUUCUAGCUUGACCUGCAUGUCGGCCAGCUCCCGGAGCUUUUCGGAAAGCUCAAGAAGCGAACGUCUCCGUUGGCUCAGGUAGGUUGUUGAUCGCGGGCUGAAGAUAGCGGAAUUCAUGAUGAGCAAUCUGAGAGAGGUCAAUAGUGGGAGAAAAUAAAGAAAGAGAAGGCAGAAGUGCGGGUGGAGGCCUCUUUAUAGCCGUAGAGCUCGGGAUUUCAGCAUCCUGGGAUGCCGAAACCCAAGUCCUGCCUGCGCAGCCACAACCCACUAGGACAAUCAAAUAUUGGCACGGUGAUAUGGAUCGGUAGAAGAAAACCAAUAGAGGCUCGCUGUCAGUUUAUGCCAGUACGCUUCGGGCAUGGGGCGACGGUGCAGAGGGCUGGCUGGAGACCCCUGGUCAGCGACAUGAUGGGCCAGUCCAAAGAUUCCGAUCAUUGAGAGAUUUUAGCACCAAGUCUCAUUCCCGCUAUCACCCUGCUGUGAUGAUAGAAACAUCGAUUUCAUCGCGUCGCGGUGAAGAAGAUGUCCGUCUGAAUGAAAUUUGAGCUUCACAAGAGCAUCACUUGCUGCAAUGUAAAUGGUUUUCUCGUUACAUAAUUCAAGUGUAACUUCGCCUUUAAGCGAUUCUGCUUGUACAACGCAACCUAAAUGGCAAAGCCCUCCAAGUCUCUUGACGUCCUCCAAUGAGAGCCAUUCAAUAGUAAAUAUGAGGUCAUCUGAACCGGAUGCUGGUUGGCUAUCAUGUUCAAUCUGUACUUCUAAAGAGCCGGCAGCAUAUAACGACGAAACAUCUUUCAUUCGAUUUUUCAAGGUCCUUCCUGAGAUGAGAUGUUGAUAAGUAGAAGAAUCAUCGUAGUCAGGUGAGGAGCUUGUUGGUAGAAGGAUAUCUGGCCACGGAAAAUUCUUCGACCGUGGAUUUUCCGUAGUGCAGGCGGGUUGGUCCACCUCUGGCUUCUCAAAGCGACUCGGAUGACUCUCACUUGUCUUUAAAUUCGAGCUCUUGUCCCUGACCAAGGUAAUGUUAAAAGCGUACUUUCGAGUGGACACGGACACGGUAGACGCGCUUCAGCUGCCGAAGAUAGGACGUUGAACACUUGAAGAAGCGCCUUCAAGCCAGCCUACUAACAAAAUUACUAACCCACGAGCAUCCGCUACGAUACUGACAGAUGAGAUGAUGUACAUAUACUAAAAGUAAUCAUGUAUGGGCUCCAAGGAGACACAGCAUAUAUAUUAGGACAUGUAUAGUAGAUUAGUGAUAGUUGGCCUUUCGGCUUCGGCGUUAAUAAAUUAAGAGAGAGAGAGAGAGAGAGAGUGUGUGUGUGUGUGUGUGUGUGUGUGUGUGAGAGUGUGUGUGAGUGUGUGUGUGUGAGAGAGAGAGUGAGUGAGUGUGUGAGUGUGUGUGUGUGUGAGUGUGUGUGAGAGUGAGAGAGAGUAAUCGUGUGUGUGUAUGUGUGUGUAUGUGUGUAUGUGUGUGUAUGUGUGUAUGUAUGUGUAUUAUGAUGGAAAGCAAAGAUUACCUGUAAGUGAUAAAGGCGAGUGCCUGUAAAAUAGAAAUAGCUCGUUCAGUAAAUAAGACCGGAAUCCCAGAGAAGAGAUAGCGAUCUAUGAGAAAAGCAGCGGCGACGUUUGAGUCCACUAAAAGCAAGAUAGCUGCGAAGAGCACAGAAAGAAACAACCAUGCAAGCCUUUAGUAGAAGCAUAAGCGCUCCUAGGUGUUACGAUUCAAGUCUUCCUUUGGCUAGCUUCUCAAACUUCAAC